rnacentral:rRNA from 1 species
CCCUUAGAUGUUCUGGGCAGCACGCGCGCUACAAUGGUCUUCGCAAACGGAUGCAUUCUCGAAGGAGAAUGCCAAUCUUGGAAUCUAUGCCUUGGUCGGGACAGUUGCUUGCAAUUUUUCGACUCGAACCAGGAAUUCCUUGUAAUCGUGAUUCAUCACAUCACGAUGAAUACGUCCCUGCCCUUUGUACACACCGCCCAUCGCUCCUACCGAUCGAAGAGUUAGGUGAAUUGUUUUGAUCGAUAAGAUUUGACUAUGGUCAACUCUCGUUGUGAAAUUCUGUGAAUCUGACUGUUUAGAGGAAGGAAAAGUCGUAACA